AUGAGGGAGUUGGCGGCCAGCCUCGCGGUCCUCGGCGAGGUGCCGAGCACUGAGAGGGCGGCCCUCGCGGACGCCUUACUUGCGGCGGCGGCCUUGGAGCAAUGCCGGCGCGGCGAGAGGAACCUGCCACGGUGCGCGUCCAGGCCGCCCUCGCAGCUCCGCGACGGCUUGAGGCGCUUCUUGGCCGGCUUGGCCAAGUCCUCCAGGGAGGCCACGGCCGCCAGCGACGCGAACGACUGCGACUUGCCGUCGAAGAACAUGGACAAUCCCCUCCUGCACAGCACAGAAAAGGCAGGUCAGCAUCUUCUCUCUCCUUAG
rnacentral:rRNA from 1 species